UUUAAUUUUCCAUCUUCUUAUGUCUUUCUAAAGCAGCUCUGGGAGAGAGGUCAGCGACUCAGUAACUGCUCAAAAUUGAUACAUUAGUUAAUACGUUUGAGCAGUUAAAUCCCUUGUGAAAACCAGUUUGUAAUAAGACAAGCUGUUGUCUAUGUACUGACUUAAACCAAAUUAACCUAUAAAGAUUUUUCUUUGACAUUUUCAUUAUGGCAGAGAUAUUUUGGUAGAAAAAAAAUCAGUAAAGUCUCCAUGUGUCAAGGAGCAGAAGUUAUAAGUUGCAUGAUGUUAUGCAGUCUCCAUCGUAGAAUCAGUCAAAGAAUUUAAACCACAAGUAGUACACUAGCAUUGGAAUUCAGCAACAACGCAUGUUAUAAUAACAGUAUAGCAAAACAUGCAGCACAAAUGUUCAUAUGUGGAGAAAACAUAAAACAGUCAUACUAUAACCCAAUCCAGAGCUUUUUGACACUGCAUAAUUUAUUUCUACUAAAUAAAAACAAGAGGAUGCUUGUGACAGUGGUUAGCAAAAACUAGGCACUUGAAGCACCUUGUGUAUGAAAAUAAAAUCUUUGUACAUCUCCAAAAGGUGGCUCAAUUGCAAUUUUAAACAUUCGUCGAACGAAAUGUCCAUGGAAAUCAGUUUAUGCAAAAAUGUAAAACUUUCACUUGUGCCCAGCUGAGUGUAAAUACCUCACCACAAAUCCACAAUGCAACGAGGCUUCCUUUGUACACUGGUAGCAAAAGAGCACAGAUAGUUAUUAGUGGUUACGUUAAAAAGUGCAUUUAAUAAAUAAGUGGAAUGUGUGGAAAUGCCAGGCAUUGGAGAAGAGCAACUACAUGCCAACAAAUCAAAAAUCUAUCUGACCUUGCUUCACUAGUUUCUAAUUCCUGACUAACAACACAAGAAGCAUUUAUUUACACAGUGAAGGAACUAGGUGGGGGCGGGCCCUGGUGCGGGCCGUGCAGCCGGGCCCCGCCCCCACCACCGUCCGUGCGGCUGCAGCCGAAUCCAGUGGGUGUGUGACUGCCGGGGGGCCCUGCUCCCCCAGUAGUUACGCCACUGUAUUUACACCACCAGCUUAAUGAUAUUUACACAUGAAAUAACUACCACUAAUAGAAUAGCAAUAGUUCGGGCUGAAUGAUGUGGAAACAACUACUUUGAUAACAUGGGGGACAUCAUCACUCCAUUUGUCUCUAGUAUAAUCAUUUCUAAUGUGAGAGAAGGAAUCAAAUACAGGCAUGGGUCAGGUCAGGACCUUUAAGUUAGCUUUUAGUAUAUUAUAGAAUGGCCAACUUUUCAAAUUGGUCUUCAUUAUUUUUUUAAUAUAGUUUUUAAAUAAUUUGCCUUCUUUUUGACUCUUUCCAUCUUUCAAAUGGGGGUCACUGACCCCAUCUAAAAACAAAUGGUCCAUAAAGCUAAAUUUUUAUUGUUAUUGCUCAUCUUUCUAUUCAGGUCCUCUCCUAUUCAUAUUCCAGUCUCUUAUUCAAAUCAAUGCAUGGUAGUUAGGGUAAGUUGGACCCUUGCAAACUAGAUUGCUAAAAUUGCAGAAUAAAAAGCUAAACAACUCAAAUAGUAAAAAAUGAAAACCAAUUGCAAAUUGUCUCAGAAUAACAGUCUCUACAUCAUACUAAAAUUUAACUCAAAGGUGAACAACCCCUUUAAUAAACAUACGUUUUGCGGCUACAUUCAGCUUUCAUUAAAUGUGUUUUAAUAUCCCAUCUGCAGUUCGUUAACAUCUAUUAAUCAUACAUAUAACUUUAGUAAGCUGUGGGGCGCAGUUCUACUUCACAACAGUUUAACUCAAAAUAUUAGGUUGCUAUAGCAAUAGAAUUAUUUCCCUGUUACUUUUCUUCCUUGUUAUACAUCUCCAGCAUGAUUUCCUUCUGAAGUAGAAAGAUGUAUUUGGCCAACCAAAGGA